rnacentral:lncRNA from 1 species
GCAGAUGGCAGAGGCGAGCCUGGGCGGUAGUAGGAAGCUGCAAAAAGUGCCUUAACUAAAGAGCAUCAGCGAGAGAGGCACGCAGGCCGGCUGCUGCUUCCUGAUUCCAGUUUUGCAGCAGUAGCGAGCCGCUGUUCUUGCUGCGGGAACUGCAAAACGGACGGUCCGGUCGCCCCAGUCUGCAGAUAAGCAUUUGAAUGUGGUACUGUGGAGAAGAAGAGAAAACCCUCACCAAAAGACUUUUUUUCUGCAGCUUCCUUUGCAUCCAGAGAAACCACUGGCAAGAGAAACAGCUUCUGCAGGAAUGGGUAGCCAUGAAAAAGAUCCAUCUUCUCCCNAAAAGGCACCACCUCCAUCUCGCUCCAAUAGCACUGUGUCUUCCAAAUACAGCAUUGCGCGACAGGGUUCUGAAAGCUGGGAGGUAG